rnacentral:rRNA from 1 species
GGCGGCGUGCUUAACACAUGCAAGUCGAACGGGAAUUACUUUAUUGAAACUUCGGUCGAUUUAAUUUAAUUCUAGCGGCGGACGGGUGAGUAACGCGUGGGUAACCUGCCUUAUACAGGGGGAUAACAGUCAGAAAUGGCUGCUAAUACCGCAUAAGCGCACAGAGCUGCAUGGCUCAGUGUGAAAAACUCCGGUGGUAUAAGAUGGACCCGCGUUGGAUUAGCUAGUUGGUGGGGUAACGGCCCACCAAGGCGACGAUCCAUAGCCGGCCUGAGAGGGUGAACGGCCACAUUGGGACUGAGACACGGCCCAGACUCCUACGGGAGGCAGCAGUGGGGAAUAUUGCACAAUGGGGGAAACCCUGAUGCAGCGACGCCGCGUGAAGGAAGAAGUAUCUCGGUAUGUAAACUUCUAUCAGCAGGGAAGAUAGUGACGGUACCUGACUAAGAAGCCCCGGCUAACUACGUGCCAGCAGCCGCGGUAAUACGUAGGGGGCAAGCGUUAUCCGGAUUUACUGGGUGUAAAGGGAGCGUAGACGGUGUGGCAAGUCUGAUGUGAAAGGCAUGGGCUCAACCUGUGGACUGCAUUGGAAACUGUCAUACUUGAGUGCCGGAGGGGUAAGCGGAAUUCCUAGUGUAGCGGUGAAAUGCGUAGAUAUUAGGAGGAACACCAGUGGCGAAGGCGGCUUACUGGACGGUAACUGACGUUGAGGCUCGAAAGCGUGG